CGUAGGGUGCGAGCGUUAAUCGGAAUUACUGGGCGUAAAGCGUGCGCAGGCGGUUUUGUAAGACAGGCGUGAAAUCCCCGGGCUCAACCUGGGAACUGCGCUUGUGACUGCAAGGCUAGAGUACGGCAGAGGGGGGUGGAAUUCCACGUGUAGCAGUGAAAUGCGUAGAGAUGUGGAGGAACACCAAUGGCGAAGGCAGCCCCUGGGUCGAUACUGACGCUCAUGCACGAAAGCGUGGGUAGCAAACAGGAUUAGAUACCCUGGUAGUCCACGCCCUAAACGAUGUCAACUAGGUGUUGGGUGGGUAAAACCAUUUAGUACCGGAGCUAACGCGUGAAGUUGACCGCCUGGGGAGUACGGCCGCAAGGUUA
rnacentral:rRNA from 1 species